GACGAACGCUGGCGGCGUGCCUAAUACAUGCAAGUAGAACGCUGAAGAAAGGAGCUUGCUUCUUUUGGAUGAGUUGCGAACGGGUGAGUAACGCGUAGGUAACCUGCCUUGUAGCGGGGGAUAACUAUUGGAAACGAUAGCUAAUACCGCAUAACAGCUUUUGACACAUGUUAGAAGCUUGAAAGAUGCAAUUGCAUCACUACGAGAUGGACCUGCGUUGUAUUAGCUAGUAGGUGGGGUAACGGCCUACCUAGGCGACGAUACAUAGCCGACCUGAGAGGGUGAUCGGCCACACUGGGACUGAGACACGGCCCAGACUCCUACGGGAGGCAGCAGUAGGGAAUCUUCGGCAAUGGGGGCAACCCUGACCGAGCAACGCCGCGUGAGUGAUGAAGGUCUUCGGAUCGUAAAACUCUGUUGUUAGGGAAGAACAAAUUUGUUAGUAACUGAACAAGUCUUGACGGUACCUAACCAGAAAGCCACGGCUAACUACGUGCUAGCCGCCGCCGUAA
rnacentral:rRNA from 1 species